rnacentral:rRNA from 1 species
AGAGUUUGAUCCUAGCUCAGGAUGAACGCUGGCGGCGUGGAUAAGGCAUGCAAGUCAAACGGGCGCAUCACACUGCGUGUGAUGCGAGAUUUAAACAUUCAAAUAUUUAAAUUUCGCAUCGCGUAUGGUGUGAUGCGCCAGUGGCAGACGAGGUAGUAACACGUAGGAACGUACCCCAAAGUCAGGAAUAACUACGGGAAACCGUAGCUAAUACUUGAUGGUCUCCGACCUUGGUCGGAGUAAAGCUUUGGCGCUUUGGGAACGGCCUGCGGGCUAUCAGCUUGUUGGUAGGGUAACGGCCUACCAAGGCUAUGACGGCUAGGGGAGGUGAGAGCCUGACCCCCACCGGAGACACUGCGACACGGGUCUCACACCUACGGGUGGCCGCAGUCGAGAAUCUUCCGCAAUGGGCGAAAGCCUGACGGAGCGACGCCGCGUGAUGGACGAAGUCCUUCGGGACGUAAACAUCUUUUCUGUCUGAAGAAGCCAUACGUAUCACACUGCGUGUGAUGCGCAGUAUUUGAUAUGUAACAAUGUGCCAGUGGUUAAACGGUUAAUUGUUUGUGUCAUCGCGCAUAGUGUGAUACGUAUAGUUGACAUUAGGACAGGAAUAAGGGGCUCCUAAACUCGUGCCAGCAGGAGCGGUAAUACGAGUGCCCCAAGCGUUAUCCGGAAUCACUGGGCGUAAAGGGUGUGUAGGCGGUACUGUUAGUCUUUUGUUAAAACUCCCGGCUUAACCGGGAAAAUGCAAAAGAAACGGCAGAACUAGAGGAUGUGAGAGGUCUACGGAACUCAUGGUGUAGGGGUGAAAUCCGUUGAUAUCAUGGGGAACGCCAAAGGCGAAGGCAGUAGGCUGGCGCAUUUCUGACGCUGAGACACGAAAGCUAGGGUAGCGAAGCGGAUUAGAUACCCGCGUAGUCCUAGCCCUAAACGAUGUUCGCUGGCUUUUUGGAGUAUCGACCCUCUAAGAGGCGAAGCUAACGCGUUAAGCGAACCGCCUGGGAAGUACGGCCGCAAGGCUAAAACUCAAAGGAAUAGACGGGGACUUGCACAAGCGGUGGAUCAGGUGGCUUAAUUCGAUGAUAAACGAAGAACCUUACCAGGGCUUGAAACGCUACUGAACAUUUAAAGAAAUUUUAAUGGCCUCACAAGGGCAGUAGCGCAGGUGAUGCAUGGCCGUCGUCAGUUCGUGACUUGAGUUGUUCCCUUCAGUGGGUUAACGAACGCAACCCCUAUCGUCUGUUAUAUAUGUCAGACGAGACUGCCCAGCCCACAGCGCGCGAAGCGCGCGAGUUUAAAUAAUUUAAAUUGUUUGAAUAUCGCCCGCAACGCGUUUACGCGUUGUGGGCUGGGAGGAAGGCGGGGAUGACGCCAGGUCCGCAUGUCCCUUUGAUGCCCUGGGCUGCACACCUGAUACAAUGGCCACUACAACAGGCUGCGACGGGGUAACCCUGAGCGAAUCCUUAUAAAAGUGGUCCCAGUUCGGAUUGAGGGCUGCAACUCGACCUCAUGAAGUCGGAAUCGCUAGUAAUCGCGGGUCAGCUAUACCGCGGUGAAUACGUUCCCAAGUCUUGUACUCACCGCCCGUCACGUCAGGGAAGCCGGGAGUAGCCGAAGUCUUCCGCCUCGGCGGAGGCCUAAGCUAAGUUCGGUGACAAGGACGAAGUCGUAACAAGGCACGG